rnacentral:tRNA from 1 species
GUGGAUGUGGCUCAGUGGUAGAGCACAUGCUUAGCAUGCAUGAGGACUUGGGUUCAAUCUCCAGCAGCAAAA